CAUUAUGAAGCUAAUCAGCAUUAACCUUUUAAGUUAAAGAUUGAGAAUAAAUUAAACUUCUCCAUAAUGA
rnacentral:tRNA from 1 species